GAUGAACGCUGGCGGCGUGCCUAAUACAUGCAAGUCGAGCGAACAGACGAGGAGCUUGCUCCUCUGACGUUAGCGGCGGACGGGUGAGUAACACGUGGAUAACCUACCUAUAAGACUGGGAUAACUUCGGGAAACCGGAGCUAAUACCGGAUCAUAUAUUGAACCGCAUGGUUCAAUAGUGAAAGACGGUUUUGCUGUCACUUAUAGAUGGAUCCGCGCCGCAUUAGCUAGUUGGUAAGGUAACGGCUUACCAAGGCAACGAUGCGUAGCCGACCUGAGAGGGUGAUCGGCCACACUGGAACUGAGACACGGUCCAGACUCCUACGGGAGGCAGCAGUAGGGAAUCUUGCGCAAUGGGCGAAAGCCUGACGGAGCAACGCCGCGUGAGUGAUGAAGGUCUUCGGAUCGUAAAACUCUGUUAUUAGGGAAGAACAAAUGUGUAAGUAACUAUGCACGUCUUGACGGUACCUAAUCAGAAAGCCACGGCUAACUACGUG
rnacentral:rRNA from 1 species